AAUCAACGCUGGCGGCGUGCCUCAGACAUGCAAGUCGAACGCGAAAGUUCCCUUCGGGGAGCGAGUAGAGUGGCGCACGGGUGAGUAACACGUGGGUAAUUUACCUUCGGGUGGGGAAUAACAGUCGGAAACGACUGCUAAUACCGCAUGAUGCAGCGGCACCACAUGGUGACAGUUGUUAAAGCGGGGGAUCGCAAGACCUCGCGCCUGAAGAGAAGCCCGCGGCAGAUUAGCUAGUUGGUAAGGUAAUGGCUUACCAAGGCAACGAUCCGUAGCCGGCCUGAGAGGGCGGUCGGCCACACUGACACUGAAUAACGGGUCAGACUCCUACGGGAGGCAGCAGUCGGGAAUUUUGGGCAAUGGGCGAAAGCCUGACCCAGCAACGCCGCGUGAAGGAUGAAGUAUUUCGGUAUGUAAACUUCACAAGAA
rnacentral:rRNA from 1 species